rnacentral:rRNA from 1 species
AGAGUUUGAUCAUGGCUCAGAUUGAACGCUGGCGGCAGGCCUAACACAUGCAAGUCGAGCGGUAACAGAAAAGAAGUUUGCUUCUUUUGCUGACGAGCGGCGGACGGGUGAGUAAUGCCUGGGAAUAUACCCUGAUGUGGGGGAUAACUAUUGGAAACGAUAGCUAAUACCGCAUAAUCUCUUCGGAGCAAAGAGGGGGACCUUCGGGCCUCUCGCGUCAGGAUUAGCCCAGGUGGGAUUAGCUAGUUGGUGGGGUAAUGGCUCACCAAGGCGACGAUCCCUAGCUGGUCUGAGAGGAUGAUCAGCCACACUGGAACUGAGACACGGUCCAGACUCCUACGGGAGGCAGCAGUGGGGAAUAUUGCACAAUGGGGGAAACCCUGAUGCAGCCAUGCCGCGUGUAUGAAGAAGGCCUUCGGGUUGUAAAGUACUUUCAGUUGUGAGGAAGGCGUUAAAGUUAAUAGCUUUAGCGUUUGACGUUAGCAACAGAAGAAGCACCGGCUAACUCCGUGCCAGCAGCCGCGGUAAUACGGAGGGUGCGAGCGUUAAUCGGAAUUACUGGGCGUAAAGCGCAUGCAGGCGGUCUGUUAAGCAAGAUGUGAAAGCCCGGGGCUCAACCUCGGAACCGCAUUUGAAACUGGCAGGCUAGAGCACUGUAGAGGGGGGUAGAAUUUCA